rnacentral:rRNA from 1 species
UACGUAGGGUGCAAGCGUUGUCCGGAAUUAUUGGGCGUAAAGAGCUCGUAGGCGGUUUGUCGCGUCGAAUGUGAAAACCCCGGGGCUCAACCCCGGGCCUGCAUUCGAUACGGGCAGACUAGAGUUCGGUAGGGGAGUCUGGAAUUCCUGGUGUAGCGGUGAAAUGCGCAGAGUAUCAGGAGGAACACCGGUGGCGAAGGCGGGACUCUGGGCCGAUACUGACGCUGAGGAGCGAAAGCGUGGGGAGCAAACAGG